rnacentral:rRNA from 1 species
AUUGCACGCUGGCGGCAUGCCUUACACAUGCAAGUCGCACGGCAGCACGGGAGCAAUCCUGGUGGCGAGUGGCGAACGGGUGAGUAAUGUAUCGGAACGUGCCCAGUCGUGGGGGAUAACGUAGCGAAAGCUACGCUAAUACCGCAUACGAACUGUGGCUGAAAGCGGGGGACCGUAAGGCCUCGCGCGAUUGGAGCGGCCGAUACCAGAUUAGGUAGUUGGUGGGGUAAGGGCCUGCCAAGCCGACGAUCUGUAGCUGGUCUGAGAGGACGGCGAGCCAAAGUGGGACUGGAGCACGGCCCAGGCGCCUCAGGGAGGCGGCAGUGGGGAAGUUUGGACCAUGGGCGCAAGCCUGAUCCAGCGAUGCCGCGUGAGGGAAGAAGUCGACCGGGUUGUACACCGCUUUUGUCAGGGAAGAAAUCCUUUGUGUUGAUACCGCGAAGGGAUGACGGUACCUGAAGAAUAAGCAUCGGCUAACUACGCGCCAGCAGCCGCAGUAAGAC